rnacentral:rRNA from 1 species
GCAGUCGAACGAGUUCUCGUUGAUGAUCGGUGCUUGCACCGAGAUUCAACAUGGAACGAGUGGCGGACGGGUGAGUAACACGUGGGUAACCUGCCCUUAAGUGGGGGAUAACAUUUGGAAACAGAUGCUAAUACCGCAUAGAUCCAAGAACCGCAUGGUUCUUGGCUGAAAGAUGGCGUAAGCUAUCGCUUUUGGAUGGACCCGCGGCGUAUUAGCUAGUUGGUGAGGUAAUGGCUCACCAAGGCGAUGAUACGUAGCCGAACUGAGAGGUUGAUCGGCCACAUUGGGACUGAGACACGGCCCAAACUCCUACGGGAGGCAGCAGUAGGGAAUCUUCCACAAUGGACGCAAGUCUGAUGGAGCAACGCCGCGUGAGUGAAGAAGGCUUUCGGGUCGUAAAACUCUGUUGUUGGAGAAGAAUGGUCGGCAGAGUAACUGUUGUCGGCGUGACGGUAUCCAACCAGAAAGCCACGGCUAACUACGUGCCAGCAGCCGCGGUAAUACGUAGGUGGCAAGCGUUAUCCGGAUUUAUUGGGCGUAAAGCGAGCGCAGGCGGUUUUUUAAGUCUGAUGUGAAAGCCCUCGGCUUAACCGAGGAAGCGCAUCGGAAACUGGGAAACUUGAGUGCAGAAGAGGACAGUGGAACUCCAUGUGUAGCGGUGAAAUGCGUAGAUAUAUGGAAGAACACCAGUGGCGAAGGCGGCUGUCUGGUCUGUAACUGACGCUGAGGCUCGAAAGCAUGGGUAGCGAACAGGAUUAGAUACCCUGGUAGUCCAUGCCGUAAACGAUGAAUGCUAGGUGUUGGAGGGUUUCCGCCCUUCAGUGCCGCAGCUAACGCAUUAAGCAUUCCGCCUGGGGAGUACGACCGCAAGGUUGAAACUCAAAGGAAUUGACGGGGGCCCGCACAAGCGGUGGAGCAUGUGGUUUAAUUCGAAGCAACGCGAAGAACCUUACCAGGUCUUGACAUCUUUUGAUCACCUGAGAGAUCAGGUUUCCCCUUCGGGGGCAAAAUGACAGGUGGUGCAUGGUUGUCGUCAGCUCGUGUCGUGAGAUGUUGGGUUAAGUCCCGCAACGAGCGCAACCCUUAUGACUAGUUGCCAGCAUUUAGUUGGGCACUCUAGUAAGACUGCCGGUGACAAACCGGAGGAAGGUGGGGAUGACGUCAAAUCAUCAUGCCCCUUAUGACCUGGGCUACACACGUGCUACAAUGGAUGGUACAACGAGUUGCGAGACCGCGAGGUCAAGCUAAUCUCUUAAAGCCAUUCUCAGUUCGGACUGUAGGCUGCAACUCGCCUACACGAAGUCGGAAUCGCUAGUAAUCGCGGAUCAGCACGCCGCGGUGAAUACGUUCCCGGGCCUUGUACACACCGCCCGUCACACCAUGAGAGUUUGUAACACCCGAAGCCGGUGGCGUAACCCUUUUAGGGAGCGAGCCGUCUAAGGUGGGACAAAUGAUUAGGGUGAAGUCGUAACAAGGA